GACGAACGCUGGCGGCGUGCUUAACACAUGCAAGUCGAGCGGUAAGGCCCUUUGGGGGUACACGAGCGGCGAACGGGUGAGUAACACGUGAGUAAUCUGCCUUUGGCUUGGGAAUAACUUCGGGAAAUCGGGGCUAAUGCCUGAUGUUUACUGUCUGCUGCAUGGUGGGUGGUGGAAAGAUUUUUUGGCCAGGGAUGAGCUCGCGGUCUAUCAGCUUGUUGGUGGGGGUAAUGGCUACCAAGGCUUUGACGGGUAGCCGGCCUGAGAGGGUGUUCGGCCACACUGGGGACUGAGACACGGCCCAGACUCCUACGGGAGGCAGCAGCGGGGGAAUAUUGCGCAAUGGGCGUAAGCCUGACGCAGCGACGCCGCGUGGGGAUG
rnacentral:rRNA from 1 species